GAUGAACGCUGGCGGCGUGCCUAAUACAUGCCAGUCGAGCGAACAGACGAGGAGCUUGCUCCUCUGACGUUAGCGGCGGACGGGUGAGUAACACGUGGAUAACCUACCUAUAAGACUGGGAUCACUUCGGGAAACCGGAGCUAAUACCGGAUAAUAUAUUGAACCGCAUGGUUCAAUAGUGAAAGACGGUUUUGCUGUCACUUAUAGAUGGAUCCGCGCCGCAUUAGCUAGUUGGUAAGGUAACGGCUUACCAAGGCAACGAUGCGUAGCCGACCUGAGAGGGUGAUCGGCCACACUGGAACUGAGACACGGUCCAGACUCCUACGGGAGGCAGCAGUAGGGAAUCUUCCGCAAUGGGCGAAAGCCUGACGGAGCAACGCCGCGUGAGUGAUGAAGGUCUUCGGAUCGUAAAACUCUGUUAUUAGGGAAGAACAAAUGUGUAAGUAACUAUGCACGUCUUGACGGUACCUAAUCAGAAAGCCACGGCUAACUACGUG
rnacentral:rRNA from 1 species